rnacentral:rRNA from 1 species
CCUACGGGAGGCAGCAGUAGGGAAUCUUCCACAAUGGGCGAAAGCCUGAUGGAGCAACGCCGCGUGAGUGAAGAAGUAUUUCGGUAUGUAAAGCUCUAUCAGCAGGGAAGAAAAUGACGGUACUUGACUAAGAAGCCCCGGCUAACUACGUGCCAACAGCCGCGGUAAUACGUAGGGGGCAAGCGUUAUCCGGAUUUACUGGGUGUAAAGGGAGCGUAGACGGUGCAGCAAGUCUGAUGUGAAAGGUCGGGGCCCAAACCCGGGACUGCAUUGGAAACUGUUGAACUGGAGUACAGGAGAGGUAAGCGGAAUUCCUAGUGUAGCGGUGAAAUGCGUAGAUAUUAGGAAGAACACCAGUGGCGAAGGCAGCUUACUGGACUAUAACUGACGUUGAGGCUCGAAAGCGUGGGGAGCGAACAGGAUUAGAUACCCCAGUAGUC